rnacentral:rRNA from 1 species
GACGAACGCUGGCGGCGUGCCUAAUACAUGCAAGUAGAACGCACAGUUUAUACCGUAGCUUGCUACACCAUAGACUGUGAGUUGCGAACGGGUGAGUAACGCGUAGGUAACCUGCCUGGUAGCGGGGGAUAACUAUUGGAAACGAUAGCUAAUACCGCAUAAUAUUAAUUAUUGCAUGAUAAUUAAUUGAAAGGUGCAAUUGCACCACUACCAGAUGGACCUGCGUUGUAUUAGCUAGUAGGUGAGGUAACGGCUCACCUAGGCGACGAUACAUAGCCGACCUGGGAGGGUGAUCAGCCACACUGGGACUGAGACACGGCCCAGACUCCUACGGGAGGCAGCAGUAGGGAAUCUUCGGCAAUGGACGAAAGUCUGACCGAGCAACGCCGCGUGAGUGAAGAAGGUUUUCGGAUCGUAAAGCUCUGUUGUAAGAGAAGAACGGGUGUGAGAGUGGAAAGUUCACACUGUGACGGUAUCUUACCAGAAAGGGACGGCUAACUACGUG